GAUGAACGCUGGCGGCGUGCCUAAUACAUGCAAGUCGAGCGAACGGACGAGAAGCUUGCUUCUCUGAUGUUAGCGGCGGACGGGUGAGUAACACGUGGAUAACCUACCUAUAAGACUGGGAUAACUUCGGGAAACCGGGGCUAAUACCGGAUAAUAUUUUGAACCGCAUGGUUCAAAAGUGAAAGACGGUCUUGCUGUCACUUAUAGAUGGAUCCGCGCUGCAUUAGCUAGUUGGUAAGGUAACGGCUUACCAAGGCAACGAUGCAUAGCCGACCUGAGAGGGCGAUCGGCCACACUGGAACUGAGACACGGUCCAGACUCCUACGGGAGGCAGCAGUAGGGAAUCUUCCGCAAUGGGCGAAAGCCUGACGGAGCAACGCCGCGUGAGUGAUGAAGGUCUUCGGAUCGUAAAACUCUGUUAUUAGGGAAGAACAUAUGUGUAAGUAACUGUGCACAUCUUGACGGUACCUAAUCAGAAAGCCACGGCUAACUACGUG
rnacentral:rRNA from 1 species